CAAAACCGUACACUCCAGUACAACAUUUUUUACUGAUAAAAGUAAGAAAUGUACUUAGUAUAAUUUCUUCAUGUUUGCAGGUCUGAUGCUCUCAAAUCCGUGCUUCAUAAAACACACAACUUUUUCAGGAAAGAGUAUGUCUUUCCUGUUACUCUCUGGCAGACUCUACAGCUCUCCAACACAGCUCCUGAAUGCCCAUUUCUCCAGAACUUUUGUCUGUGGAAAAACUCCUUUGCUUGCAAGUCAGCUUACUUCUGGAUGGUUCCUGAAAACCCACGAUGCUUGAGAUUCAGAGCUUUGCUCUCCUGAGCGAGAUCAAGCCAAGGUGUGUGGGUCACCAAAAGUCCUCAUUCCGCUGGAAUGGGUUUUGUGACCCAGAGAGCAUUUAGUCAUAAGAGCACAACAGGCUCUCUCCUGCCUGCCAGCCACAGCCAUGGGGAAUUGGGCCAGCUGCUGCUGUCAGAGAUAGACUGAGAGUAGUGCCUAAAGAAUGGCCAGAAACAUUUGGGUGCAGAGGCACUAGCAGGACCAGCUGCUGGUCAAAGGCCUUGGACACCCCUACAUUGGUGCUUGGAAGCGGGAAGUGAGGAAAGCAGGAGAGAAACACCUUAUGUUGCAGCAGUUAAUGAUGGAAAUCAUCAUACACAUCUUUAAAUUGAAA